CCUACGGGUGGCAGCAGUGGGGAAUAUUGGACAAUGGGCGAAAGCCUGAUCCAGCCAUGCCGCGUGUGUGAAGAAGGCCUUCGGGUUGUAAAGCACUUUCAGUGGGGAAGAAAGCCUUGGGGCUAAUACCCUCGAGGAAGGACAUCACCCACAGAAGAAGCACCGGCUAACUCCGUGCCAGCAGCCGCGGUAAUACGGAGGGUGCGAGCGUUAAUCGGAAUUACUGGGCGUAAAGCGCGCGUAGGCGGUCUGAUAAGCCGGUUGUGAAAGCCCCGGGCUCAACCUGGGAACGGCAUCCGGAACUGUCAGGCUAGAGUGCAGGAGAGGAAGGUAGAAUUCCCGGUGUAGCGGUGAAAUGCGUAGAGAUCGGGAGGAAUACCAGUGGCGAAGGCGGCCUUCUGGACUGACACUGACGCUGAGGUGCGAAAGCGUGGGUAGCAAACAGGAUUAGAUAACCUUGUAGUC
rnacentral:rRNA from 1 species